rnacentral:rRNA from 1 species
CCUACGGGAGGCAGCAGUGGGGGAUAUUGCACAAUGGGGGAAACCCUGAUGCAGCGACGCCGCGUGUGGGAAGACGGUCCUCUGGAUUGUAAACCACUGUCCCCAGGGACGAAGAUGACGGUACCUGGGGAGGAAGCUCCGGCUAACUACGUGCCAGCAGCCGCGGUAAUGCGUAGGUGGCGAGCGUUGUCCGGAUUUACUGGGCGUAAAGGGAGCGUAGGCGGAUUUUUAAGUGAGAUGUGAAAUACUCGGGCUCAACUUGAGUGCUGCAUUUCAAACUGGAAGUCUAGAGUGCAGGAGAGGAG